GUGUCAGCAGCCGCGGUAAGACGAAGGGGGCUAGCGUUGUUCGGAAUUACUGGGCGUAAAGGGCGCGUAGGCGGCUCUAUAAGUCAGGCGUGAAAGCCCUGGGCUCAACCUGGGAGUGGCGCUUGAUACUGUGGGGCUAGAGAGUGGGAGAGGUUGGUGGAAUUCCCAGUGUAGAGGUGAAAUUCGUAGAUAUUGGGAAGAACACCGGUGGCGAAGGCGGCCAACUGGACCAUUUCUGACGCUGAGGCGCGAAAGCGUGGGGAGCAAACAGGAUUAGAAACCCCAGUAGUCC
rnacentral:rRNA from 1 species